GACGAACCGUGCGAACGUUGUUCGGAAUCACUGGGUUUAAAGGGCGCGUAGGCGGGCUGUCAAGUCGGUGGUGAAAUCUUUCGGCUCAACCGGAAAAUCGCCUCGAUACUGGCGGCCUUUGAGGGAGGUAGGGGCAUGCGGAACUUCCGGUGGAGCGGUGAAAUGCGUAGAUAUCGGAAGGAACACCGAUGGCGAAAGCAGCGUGCUGGACCUUUUCUGACGCUGAGGCGCGAAAGCCAGGGGAGCAAACGGG
rnacentral:rRNA from 1 species